UAGAAAUUUUCUGUUGCAAACAAUCAUCCAUCAGGAUACGAAUGAAGUCCCUGUCCCAACAGAUAAUUUUGGUGGUAUGGAUAAGAUGUAAUGGAAUCUGUGCUCUGCUUGGCUCUUCCUUGUAGAGUGUAGACUUCCAUUUUCUCCCUUGGGCGAUUGAGAAGGGCUUGAUUGAUCUUGCACAAAUUCCAUGAUUAAUAGAGUGACAUUAUAAAUGACUUUCAUGAGUAUGAAACUCUUAUAGGAUGAGACUAACCAGCUUUAGUAGCUGAUAUUUCCUCCCUAGCUAGCUCUCUUUGAAGUAAGCAAAGAAAGCAUGCAUGCCUGGUUUUGGUUCUCAUGAGAUCUUCUCUUGGAAUGAAGUCUCUCUUUUUUACUUUAUUUCAUCUAUCAUGCUGCUUAUUAUUGGUUUCUGGGGAUCAUGCCUUUGAUGUGCGUAGGUUAUUCUUCCAUUACACCAGCUGAAGGCUGUCAAUCCAUCAACAAGCAAAGCCAAACCAGGAGAAAAAUGUAUCCAGAUUAUCUCAGUCGACAACCAUGAAUUUUGGUUCAUGGGCUUUGUACACUAUGACAGUGCUGUGAAAAAUCUUCGAGGAGCAUUGGAGCACCGCCGUUUGUGAUGUGUUGGGGCCAAAUUUCCAGUCCUAUCAAAAUCAAGCGUCUGAUGCUGCAAGUUGGUGUAGACAAAAGCUAGUAUCCUCUCCAAAAUAAUACAUGGGUGGUAUUCAUUUGCGAUUCAAACUCAUUGAUUGUGGUUUACGUUACAUGCUUAUGUUGCCAUAAUUAGAGAUAGCAGUUGUAAUAUCAUAUCUUUCCUUCUUAUAAUUAAAUUAAUUUGUUUCUG
rnacentral:misc_RNA from 1 species